ACUCCUACGGGAGGCAGCAGUGGGGAAUAUUGGACARUGGGGGCAACCCUGAUCCAGCAAUGCCSCGUGAGUGAUGAAGGCCUUCGGGUUGUAAAGYKCUUUCGGCGGGGAAGAUGAUGWSKGURCCCGCAGAAGAAGCCCCGGCUAACUUCGUGCCAGCAGCCGCGGKAAUACKAAGGGGGCUAGSGUUGUUCGGAAUUACUGGGCGUAAAGGGCGCGUAGGCUGUGCUGUAAGUCAGGYGUGAAAUCCCCGGGCUCAACCUGGGAAUUGCGCAUGAUACUGCGGCGCUKGAAGACSGGAGAGGAUGGCGGAAUUCCCAGUGUAGAGGUGAAAUUCGUAKAUAUUGGRAAGAACACCGGUGGCGAAGGCGGCCAUCUGGCCCGKAAUUGACGCUGAGGCGCGAAAGCKUGGGGAGCAAACAGGAUUASAUACCCUGGUAGUCMACKCCRUAAACGAUGAGUGCUAGACRUCGGGGGGCUUGCCCUUCGGUGUCGACGCUMACGCAKUAAGCACUCCGCCUGGGGAGUACGGUCGCAAGAUUAARACUCAAAGGAAUUGACGG
rnacentral:rRNA from 1 species